rnacentral:rRNA from 1 species
CAAGUAGGUGGUCUCAUUUGUCUAGGGUGAAAUCCUUGAGCUUAACUCAAGAAGUGCCCUAGAAACGGUGAGACUCGAGUUCUGGAGAGGGUCGUGGAAUUCCCGGUGUAGCGGUGAAAUGCGUAGAGAUCGGGAGGAACACCAGAGGCGAAGGCGGCGACCUGGACAGAUACUGACACUCAACUGCGAAAGCGUGGGGAGCAAACAGGAUUAGAUACCCUGGUAGUCCACGCUGUAAACGAUGGGAACUAGGUUUGAUGGGUCUUGACCCCCGUCGAACCGGCGCUAACGCACUAAGUUCCCCGCCUGGGAAGUACGGUCGCAAGACUAAA